rnacentral:rRNA from 1 species
ACGGCUCAGUAACACGUAGUUAAUCUGCCAUAUAGCCGAGAAUAACCUUGGAAACCUGAGGGUAAUGCUCGAUAGGGAAUAUGAUCUGGAAUGAUGUAUUCCAAAAACGUAAGGCUAUAUGAUGAGACUGCGGUGGAUUAGGUUGUUGGUAGGGUAAUGGCCUACCAAGCCAAUGAUCCAUACGGGCCUUGGAAGAGGGAACCCGGAGAGGGACACUGAGAUACUGGUCCCAGCCCUACGGGGUGCAGCAGGCGCGAAAACUUCACAAUGCACGAAAGUGUGAUGGGGGGACUCAAAGUGCUUAUACUUAUGGUAUAGGCUUUUGCUAAGUCAAAAUUGCUUGGCGAAUAAGUGGUGGGAAAGACUGGUGCCAGCCGCCGCGGUAACCCCAGCGCCACGAGUGGGAACCAGUAUUAUUGGGCCUAAAGCGUCCGUAGCAGGUUUGUUAAAUUGCUUGUGAAAUCGCAUCGCUCAACGAUGCGGAAUGCAGGUAAGACUGGCAGACUAGAGACCGGGAGAAGUCAGAGGUAUUCAGGGGGGAGCGGUAAAAUGCGAGAAUCCUUUGAGGACCACCUGUGGCGAAGGCGUCUGACAAUAACGGGUCUGACUGUGAGGGACGAAAGCUAGGGGAGCGAACCGGAUUAGAUACCCGAGUAGUCCUAGCCCUAAACGCUGUGAACUAGGUGUUGCAUAACCUUCGGGAUUGUGCAGUAUCGUAGAGAAGUCGUUAAGUUCAC